GAAGGAAAGAAAAAAGGGAAUUUACUUUAAAAAAAAUGCACAAUUCUGCAUUCAGAUACAAGUUUGAUUUACUUGGGCAAAGGAGAAAAUUCUUCUUUUAACUCAGAGCUUAUAUUAAAAAGACAGGCUCUAAUCAUAACAACAGCUUCCUGUAACGCUAUCAACAGGCUGUGCACAUUCAGCUCCACACCAGAAGGAUGUUAUAAUAAUUUUAGUGCUAACUUUUAACUAACCAUGUAACUCAUCACAGUAAGUCAGAGGAUGAAUGAAAACCACAAAAGCUUGAGUCCUCCAACAAGCUUCACACAGACACAGGCAUUCAGGUUUGCACAAAACUCUCCACUGGCUUUUAAUGUGUAUGACUUUCCUGGAUAAGGAAGAAUCCCCUAAAGCCAAGCCUAGAACACCUCUACCUGCAUUUUAACUCCAAAUGUUAACAAUAAAAAUCCUUCUGCAAGAAGACAGGAACCUUCAGCACAAUAACCUCAGUACUCACUUACUAUUCCUAUACUGACAAGAGUCCCAGAACUACAUUACAUUGGUAUUCCACUUCCGCCAAGUUUUCCUGAAAAAGCAAAACCAAAUCCACCUGCCAAAUGUGCUCCUACAGCUGGGCUGCCGGGCGCUCUGCAGGUACAGGUAAAGAAAUUACUGUCAAGUGCAAAAGUGUUCUCUCGGAUUAGGAAUCCUGGCAGUUUUACUGUGAUUUCCCUAUUUGUCCCACCAGCUAAACAUUAAAAGCGAAAUGAUGGCUACAGUGAAGGGAACUGCUCACACCACGGGUGGGUUUCAGCGGGUGAGGAGGCUGGCACGCAGCACAAAGGGAGGCAGCGUGUCCCAGACACCUCGAGCACUGCUCUCAGCUUCCCAGGAGAACCUCACCCGGGUGGGUUUAACCGACACGAGGCGCCGUUUGGGUCAGGCCGGGCUCUCGGCCCAAGCUGGGACUCGCCGCACUCCGCCGAGCAGCUUUUGUUCCUCCGCGAGCGGGGACCCCGGGGGCCGCACAGGUGCCGCUCCCCACGGCCGGGCAGCUCGGGGCAGCGCCCGUGGGCCGGGAGGGAGGAAGGGAGCGAGGGCAGCCCCGACGGCGGCUCCGGGUCAGGGCACGGCGGAGCGGGAACGGGAACCGGGAUCAGAGGCUGUUACCUGAGGCAGCGGCAGAAGGUACGACUUGAAGGUACCUUUCAGAGGUAACUCGGAUGCGUUCAUCAUUAGAUGAUUGCUGCUCAUCCUCUUUUUCCUGGAAGUAUUCUUCUACACACUGCUCUUCAAACUCGUACAGCUUUUUUAGCUCUUCAUCAUUUAGAAAUAACUCUGUGAAACAGAAGAAGAAAAUAUUCCUAUUCGCCUCUUCCAAUGUAUGAACUUUACAGGCACUUGUUGAAAAUGGAUUAAGUGGAUGCCAUGUCAUCAUUUAGAAGAAAGUAUUCAUUAGCAGCACAGCGUCACAUAUUCCCAAGAGCCCAAGGAGGUCAACAGCUGUUAACCUGAUAUAAAAUUUGUCCCGUACUUCCUCUGUACAUACACUGGACUGUAAAUGUGAAGAAAAUUAAUACUUUGUCAUUGGAAAA